rnacentral:lncRNA from 1 species
AGACGUGCACUGCAGCAGCACCGGGACUUGACAGCCCUACGGCUCGAUCAGCUUUCUGUUUUCAUUGCCUUACGAUGCCAUGAGUGGAACUAUUGUCAAAUCAGAGUUCACUCCCCAGCUUUUCAGUCUUUCCCCUAAUUCUUGCUCUAUCAGAGGUCGAGGACAACAGUAUAAUGAUUCAUAGGUUCUACUUCCUGGCAAGUAAUCAUUUUCCCACGGGCCCUUGUGAAUUGAUGAAUAUGAAGACACUAAGAAAGCAGAAAUAGAACUGAGAAGAAUGAAAUAACUGUCUCUACCUUUCUCGAAUUGUCUAAUAUGGAAAGAAUGAAAGACAGCUAAUAAGCAACUCUCUGCAAGAAGACAUAUGGCUUAGGUUCUGCUGAGCUAUUGGUGAUUUGAUUCCAUGCAUAUGUAUUCACUACUGAGAUGGGAUCUUGCUAUGUGGCCCAGGCUGGCCUCAAACUCCUG